UGCACGGUGGAGCAGUUGGUAGCACUGUUGCCUUGAAAGUUAGAAGGUCCUGGGUUCAAUUCCCUGUCGGGGGUCUUUCUGCAU